rnacentral:sRNA from 1 species
AAGGCACAACACAGAGCGUACUGAGGGUCAGGGCACAGUGCAGGUGUGGGGCAGGCCAGCAUUCCAGUCACUUUAUGACACAUAACAGUGUAAACAGUGGGCGGGCACCUUCCACUAAACUCAAAGGUGACCCCCCACCCCCACCCAGAGCAGCGAAACAUGUCCUCCUGGCCCUCCACAGGCGUGAGACUCGCAUCCACCCGCCGGUAGGAAAGUGUGUGAGGCAGACAUGGUAGCAUGCCUGUGUAUUGCAGAACUGGAGGCCGAGGUCAGACUUCCCGGGUUUGACAAGCAGCAGCUGGUUGCAUCAGCACCACCGACAUCCUUGGCUUGGGCUUCUGUCGUUCUCGCACAGCGCCCUGCACACCUCCCUUACAGCCUAGCUGGUGCCUCUGCCGAGGGUCUCUUCGGAACUUUUGACUCUAGCUUCCUGUUCUUGGCAUCCUCCUCCUAAGAAAAGGAAACUUCUCCAGAGCAGCUAAGGAGAUGGCAGAGGAGUGGAGACCUGGACAGAGCUUGGUACACAAUAGGCAUGGAAAGAUAUCUGCACAGCAGAAAAGGAUUCUUCUAUAGCCGAGGCUUGACCCCAGGGCCUCACGCAAGCUGUAUCCUAUCACAUGGCGGUGCUCUGUCAGACUUCAGCUCAGCUCAGCUCAGCUCAGCUCACAACACAGACAUCUACUCCAACUGUUCCAGCCCCUGCAGGAAGAGAACCGUCACCCUCA